rnacentral:rRNA from 1 species
GACGAACGCUGGCGGCGUGCUUAACACAUGCGAGUCGAACGGAAAGGCCUCUUUCGGGGGGUACUCGAGUGGCGAACGGGUGAGUAACACGUGGGUAACCUGCCCUUGACUUUGGGAUAACUUCAGGAAACUGGGGCUAAUACCGGAUAGGAGCUCCUGCUGCAUGGUGGGGGUUGGAAAGUUUCGGCGGUUGGGGAUGGACUCGCGGCUUAUCAGCUUGUUGGUGGGGUAGUGGCUUACCAAGGCUUUGACGGGUAGCCGGCCUGAGAGGGUGACCGGCCACAUUGGGACUGAGAUACGGCCCAGACUCCUACGGGAGGCAGCAGUGGGGAAUAUUGCACAAUGGGUGGAAGCCUGAUGCAGCAACGCCGUGUGCGGGAUGACGGCCUUCGGGUUGUAAACCGCUUUCGCUCAUGACGAAGCUUUGUGUGACGGUAGUGGGUAAAGAAGCACCGGCUAACUACGUG